rnacentral:rRNA from 1 species
AUUGAACGCUGGCGGCAGGCUUAACACAUGCAAGUCGAACGGUAACAUAAAGGAGCUUGCUUCUUUGAUGACGAGUGGCGGACGGGUGAGUAAUGCUUGGGAAUCUAGCUUAUGGAUGGGGAUAACUACGGGAAACUGUAGCUAAUACCGCGUAGAAUCGGGAGAUGAAAGUGUGGGACCUUCGGGCCACAUGCCAUAGGAUGAGCCCAAGUGGGAUUAGGUAGUUGGUGAGGUAAAGGCUCACCAAGCCGACGAUCUCUAGCUGGUCUGAGAGGAUGACCAGCCACACUGGGACUGAGACACGGCCCAGACUCCUACGGGAGGCAGCAGUGGGGAAUAUUGCGCAAUGGGGGCAACCCUGACGCAGCCAUGCCGCGUGAAUGAAGAAGGCCUUCGGGUUGUAAAGUUCUUUAGGUAGCGAGGAAGGCAUUUAGUUUAAUAGACUAGGUGAUUGACGUUAACUACAGAAGAAGCACCGGCUAACUCCGUG